AGUGAUGAAGAAUUGGAUACAAUCUGUGAAAUAUUAAGUCUUCAAUCAAACGUGUUUGGUUCACUUGAUAUGAGUCGAUCCAAUUCAAUGACAAUGGCUGGUCAGUGCCGUUUGGCACCACUUAUCCCAUGCAUUCAAGACUCGAGUCAAUUAUACGACUUUUCCGUAAAACUAUUAUUCAAAUUAUACGAUGCUCUACCGGCCGCCGCAAUAGAAGG